AGGCGGCAGGGGGGACGUCCUCUAUUUCUGCAGGCUUCUGUGUGGGAGGAAGAACACAUUUCUUAGCUCUUUGCUGUGGCAAAGAAACCUUCCUCAUGCCAAGUGUAACGCUUCUCUCCAGCAGCCUGCAGAAAGCCCUAAGUGACAGCAGAGCAAAGCGCUCGGACGGUCCCUGCUGCCGCCAGCUUCCCUGUGAAUAGCUGUGAAAAUAAUGAGAAUUGUGUUAGUACUGUGCUGCUGCUUUGGCAAAGGCUGAGCCUUCCUCCGGGGAGGAAUGGCUGGGAAAGAGACAAGCAGACCGUCUUGCUGUUCUCCUGCAACAGGAGCUUGGGACAGCAAGCAGGGCUGCUUCUUUCCAGCAGCUGGCGAGGGAUAAGCAAAGAGGGCUCACGAAGUGGGAAUUCAUCACAGCAGAGCCCCAGCACUCGUCCUGUGCUGAGUUGCACCAGUGCUGUGCUUACCAUGCCAGGAACAUCUGAGGAUGGGAGAAAUCCAGGGCCUUUGGUUCAGGAAAUGUUGUGUGUUUUAUUUGGGCUUGGGCUCCGAGUUCCCCCAGGAGCUGAGCCAUAACCACAGCCACAGUCAGAAAUGUGGGGACUUCCACGGAGCUGCCACUGCUCUGACAUUAUCUGGGGAGUCCUGCCAUCUCUCGCCAGCUGCCUCGGCUUUGUUGCUGAAAAGCUCUCUUCUGUGAAACAUAGGGAAAAUCAGAGGAUAUAGGAGUGGCUGAACUGCGGUGAUUGGGGUGCUAGUUGGAGGAGAGGUGCCUGGAGAGGAAGGCCUGGCAGCAUCUUAUUUCUGAGCAUAGGAUUGAUUGGGUCAGCUUCAUUGUGCAAAUUGUGAAUGCUGCCGUUGCGAGGAUGGAGGCUGUGAUGGAAGCAGGGCUGGGCUGCAUGCUGGUCCCACACAGGUACUGGAGGCCUUCCUGCUGAUCUGAAGGUACCAGAGCUCGGUCUGCUGGGGAGCUGCCAUGUAUGUGGUUCUACCAUUUCUUUGUGUCAGAUCCGACCAUGGCUUUUUUUUUUUUU
ensembl:lncRNA